rnacentral:misc_RNA from 1 species
UUGACUUAUUGUAUAAGUUACUCAGAGAGGCCAGUAGUUACAGGGUUUCGGUCUUCUGACGGGCUUGCCGGGCUCCCCGAGGGGGCGCCGGCGCGGCCGCGGGUUGCCCCGGGCCACCCGCCGAAGCAACGGUGAGGUAGGUUCACAAUGGUUGGGAGUUUUGCAACUCUGUAAUGAUCCCUCCGCUGGUUCACCAACGGAGA